GCACAUAUAAGGAGAGAAAAAUAAGUUGGUGGCAAGGUCUUAGAGAUAAUGUCAAACAUUAUCUAUAUGAUAUCCUAUUUCAAAUCAGAUUUGAACAUACCAUUUAAAACCUGAUCCCACCCAAAUUUGGGUGUGAGAUAGAGAAGGGAAAGGAAUCUUUAUCACAAAAAAAUUUUAUGUAAAAACUAUUUGUGCGUGAGGGUAUAUGGCAUC
rnacentral:lncRNA from 1 species